UCAGGUUCCUAAAUAACUAUACAGAAAUCUACAAUUGAUGGUUCCUUAAUAACUAUACAGAAAUCUACAAUUGAUGAUAUUUUUAUAGCAAAGCUGAUAAAACAUUUAGCACGAUGACUAUGUAAGGUAGAAUAAGAAAGUGAGAUACUCUCAGAUCAGUUUUUAAAGUUAUAUUAAAGAAGCGAACAGUUUCUAAACAAAUUAAUAGCCUUCUGUUUAACUCAUGUGCACAGUCAACUAAAGAAAAACAUGAUUUACAAUGAACUAAAGUUUGCAUGUAUAUAAAUAAUUCGAUACUAUUAUCUUAGUAAUUAUCAAUCACCGGCAACUGGUUCAGGAAAAGUUACCACUUCUUCCAUAUUCAUAGCGAAAGGCCUCUCCUUGAUCGAGUUGCUGCAUUUAUUUGAAGGUAUCUAUUCAACAAGGCACGUAUUAUAAGUUAUAGCUCCCACAUCUAAAACUUGCAAACACGAGACGAUAAAAACAGCACAAAAAUCAGGAGAUUGAGAAUUUUUCGUAAUUAAAGCAGAUUUGACAUAGAAAAACUUUAUGAAAGCCGAUUUCAUCAAUUAAAAGUAAGAAGAAUCGAGACUGAUAAAAUGAUAGGAGGGAAAAACUCGUAUCAAAAUAGUUUACCUUAACUUUGUAGAAUUAAACGCCCAAAUUUCCAGAGUUUCUUUGGCUCUAUUUGUUGGUGGGGAUCACCAAAAGCCCCAAG
rnacentral:lncRNA from 1 species